GCGGAUGGCUGGAUGACCGCGUGCCCGCACGGGUCCGCAAGGAUACCAUCGGGCGCGAGGAAAGUCCGGACUCCAUGAAGGAAGGGUGCCGGGUAACGCCCGGCCGGGGCAACCCGAGGGAAAGCGCCACAGAGAACAGACGGCCCCACAGGCCGGGCAACCGGUCCGGGGUCACGGUGAAACGGUGGGGUAAAAGCCCACCGCGUGCCUGGUAACAGGGACGGCAUGGCAAGCCCCACCCGGAGCAAUGCCGAAUAGGGACCCCAGGCGGUACACCGCAGGGAACUUCAGCCCCGGGGUCCGGGUUGGCAGCUAGAUCCUGUUGGCAACGACAGGGGCAGAUGAAUGGUCAUCGCCGGGGGCAACUCCGGUACAGAAUCCGGCUUACAGGCCAUCCGCGUAU
rnacentral:RNase_P_RNA from 1 species